UACGUAGGGGGCAAGCGUUGUCCGGAAUCAUUGGGCGUAAAGAGCGUGUAGGCGGCCCGGUAAGUCCGCUGUGAAAGUCCAGGGCUCAACCCUGGGGUGCCGGUGGAUACUGUCGGGCUCGAGUCCGGAAGAGGAGUGUGGAAUUCCUGGUGUAGCGGUGAAAUGCGCAGAUAUCAGGAGGAACACCAAUGGCGAAGGCAGCACUCUGGGACGUGACUGACGCUGAGACGCGAAAGCUAGGGGAGCAAACGGG
rnacentral:rRNA from 1 species